rnacentral:misc_RNA from 1 species
GAUGAAGAACGUAGCGAAAUGCGAUAAGUAGUGUGAAUUGCAGAAUUCAGUGAAUCAUCGAAUCUUUGAACGCACAUUGCGCCCCUUGGUAUUCCAUGGGGCAUGCCUGUUCGAGCGUCAUUUGUACCUUCAAGCUCUGCUUGGUGUUGGGUGUUUGUCUCGCCUCUGCGUGUAGACUCGCCUCAAAACAAUUGGCAGCCGGCGUAUUGAUUUCGGAGCGCAGUACUUCUCGCGCUUUGCACUCAUAACGACGACGUCCAAAAGUACAUUUUUACACUCUUGACCUCGGAUCAGGUAGGGAUACCCGCUGAACUUAAGCAUAUCAAUAACCGGAGGA